rnacentral:lncRNA from 1 species
AAGAUUCUGGGAGGAUUUGGAUCUGACACUCAGGAUCAUAUCCCUUCUGAAGAGACAUGCUAGAAGUACAAAAACUUAAACAGUGAAAACUUAUGUGAUAAGAGAUGCAAUGAGAGACCAUUCGAUGAAGCUUAAAGUCUGAACAGUCUUCUGUAGUCAAUCAGGCUCCAUUUUUAAUUCUAGGUUAAAAAUGGGAAAAAAAACAACAAGAAUAAUAGUAGUCAUCAUAGUAAUAGUUUGCAGAUACUCUUUAUGUUUCACAAACAUUAUCUUCUUGUAUCCUGGCGAUCACCUUCAUCAACAUAAUGUUCAGCAUCACAGGUGGAGAUGCAAUGUCCAGUAUCAAAAGACUUGUUGAAAAAGCGGAUCGCUCAACUUUGAGUGGCCGUGGUUCCACGGCAUGCUCGGCUUGGCGGGCCGAGCCCUGUAACUCUUGUCUUCCGCGGGGGCACCUUUACUUCUUACUGAGGUCAUGCCCUCUUCUUCCUUUAUACCCCAAGGGCACCCAGCACCAUUAUCAGUACAGACCAGGAGUCAGCCAGUUCCUACCAACUGAUGCUUAUUUUCCAAACAUAUACAAAGACAAUGUAGUCAAAACAUCUUAAAAUCACAUGUCACUGUUACAGAGUCUCCCUGCUCUCUUAAUCAGGCUUGGGUCAGGAUGAGGGAUCUAGUCAUUAGGGCUGAGAUUUAUUUUAGCCACAGGAGUGCACUUAGGCAGCGUACGGACUGUGUUCAGGCAGUUCUCAGCAGGCCCCACUGGAUAGAGCACACAUCUUAGAGGACACCGUGUUAAGAACAAUUCAUUUACCCACAGAAACCAAGAGGAGACGUUUAACACCAAACAAACCAAGGGCCGGGAGGAGGGAAGCAGCUUGUCUGAAAAUGACCACAGUUCAUAGUUGUGUUAUAAUAGAAACCAUUGCCAAGGAUAGCCACCUUCCUUCUCAGAGGACAACGUAUGUAACGCGACAUUCAAGGAAGAAUCUUCCCCGACUUCUGCUGCACACAUUGAAAAACAUCGAGCAACACGUCACAUCGAAGUGUCCUGACUUAACCACAGUUGUCCCAGCUGCGGGUAGUUGUCAGCAAUCCCAAGAUUUCUGUUUUGUAUUUCUCAUUAGAAGUGUCUCUUGAAGACCCCUUUAUUCCAGAACAAAUAUUUGAAUAAGGAUUAUGUGGAAACAAGAAACAAAAAAGACACUGAAAAAUAAAGUGAGACGCUAUAGCUGUACAGGAUUUAACAAAAUAUUAACAAAUUCACUAUUUAAAUUCCAAAUCCGUCUAAAAAUUAAACAAGUAUCUACAGAUCACCAGAAAAAUCCAUAUGGUGGAACGUAACACACUGAACUCAUAAUACACAUUCUCCAGGGGAUACAGUCUGGUGUUGGGUAAAGUAAUAAAUUCAUUAGCGAGUAGCCUGAAAAGUUAUGUAACUAUGGUAGGUAAGUGAGUGGUGUAGAUAAGGCUAGCUAUUGGGAUAAGAAGAGGCAGACCUCUGAAGGAUAGGCAGGGCUUAGCAGGGGAAGAGUAACAUCAGUUGUACUCUGAAGUGAGGACGAUGACUUAAACCUCUCUCUAUAGUCCACACCAAGUGUCUUGUCUGUGCUAAUGAUCCUCAUCAUCCUCUUCAUUUUUAUUUAAUAAUGAGCACUAGGUAACUUUUCUUUUCUUCCUUAAUCUUUUAAUGCUUUUUAGCUUGCUUGUGGUGAAGUUUCAGGGAGCAGGUUGCUGCUCUGUCUGUAUCACUGGAAGUCUAGCAGCCUUGGAAAUAUGUAUUCUGCAACUCAAGCCCAGUCAUAGGCAACACACAAAUGAAUGGCCAUGGCUGCUUCAGAAAAACUUUACAAAAACAGCAAGUUGUCUGGAUUUGGCAUACAGACCAUAGUUUGCCAACCCUGGAAAAUGCAUCUCACUAAAAUAUUUAUAUGGGUACCCUCUAGUGUACUUUCUAGAUACUGAAAGAGCAGGCAUGGCAUUAGGAAGAAACGAUCACUAAGAAUGAACUGUCUUGUGGGUGCCACUAGCCACAUGGGCUCUUGAGCCCUGGAAUGUGGCCAGUUUGAGUUGAGAUGUACUUUCAGUGUACAAUACAUACUUAGAUUUGAAGUUUGCAUAGAAGUAUAAGAUAUCUCAUUAAAAUUAUCCUGUACUGUUUAUAUAUUAAAAUGAUUAUUAUUUACUAUAUUGGGCUAAAUAAAACAUUUUUUAAGUUUAUUUUUUUGAUACUGGGAAUUUGGACUUGCUUUGGAGAUAAGGUAAAAUUGAUUAUGAAGGAGGCACACUUACAUCACAAAUCUCUGCAAAGCCUAUAUAACUCACCACAAUUGAAGAAAAGCCCAGGCAUUUAAUGUAAAGGAUACUACAAAUUCCAGUUAAAAACUUCAGGCAGUGUAUGCAAAGAACAUUUCACAGUGGAAUAUAUUGGACCAAGGUGAUUAUAUUCAUUCCUACAGUUGAUGGCUGAAAUGUGUGCCCUGAACCAACACUUGGUUUAAAAUACACAGAAAUGAAGUGCAACAUCUAAAUAUCUCUUUUCCCUAAAAAAGUUAACUUGUAUUAAAUACUAAAGUAACUUUUAGUUUUAAAAAUUAUCAUUAAACAGGGAGGAUUCCUUAUUACCUUAGAAGCAGGCACUUCACUGAGACUGCCCUGCUACUAAGAUCACUGUUGUAGAAAGAACUAGCAAAAAUCUUGUGUUAGUCCAUUCUCACACUGCUAUAAAGAACUACCUGAGACUGGGAAAUUUAUAAAGAAAAGAGGUUUAAUUGAACCACAGCUCCACAGGCUGUACAGGAUACAUGACUGGGGAGGACUCAAGAAACUUACUAUCAUGGUGGAAGAGUGAAGGGGAAGCAGGUGCAUCUUCACGUGGUGGAAGGGGAGAAAGAGUGAAGUGGGAAGUGUGGCCCACUUUCAAACAACCAGAUCUCAUGAGAACUCACUUACAAUAACAGCAAGGGAGAAACUGCCCCCAUGAUCCAAUCACCUCCCUCUCCAACACUGAUGAUUCCAGUUCAACAUGAGAGUUGGGUGGGGACACAGAGCCAAACCGUAUUACAUACCAAAUGGCUGCCUAUUUCUGGACAAUGGCAUCUUCGGGAGCCAGUGUUCAUCUGUCCCACUUAAUGUCAAUGACCCCUUCAUUUUAAAAUCUGAAUGGUGACAUUUCUGAUCCUGGAACAGGAGCAAGGUCAAAGGCUUCUUUCUUUGCCAUGAACCCGAGUGUGAAGACUCCUGGA